GUACACACACACACUGACAGACAUGCACACACAUAAACAGGCACACACACAUACUAACAGACAUGUACACAUACAUGCACACAUUCACAUAGACAUACGUACACACAGUCACACACUGUCCAGACAUGCACAUACAAGGCACACACAUACUAACAGACAUGUAUACAUACAUGCACACAUUCACAUAGACAUACAGUCACACAGACAUGUACACAUGCAUGACACGCACACACAUACUAACAGACAUGUACACAUAC
rnacentral:lncRNA from 1 species